CAUCUGGUGCCGUGACUCGGAUCGGAACUACAGGAUUCAGAAGCCCCUGUGUGGAUACCAGAGCGCCUAACGAGAGUGGUGAGAGCCUCCGUGCCGGACAACAUC